GUUGUACUCCCUCCGUCCAAAAAUUCUUGUCUUAGAUUUGUCUAGAUACGGAUGUAUCUAAUACUAAAACGUGACUUGAUACAUCCGUAUUUAGACAAAUCUAAGACAAGAAUUUUGGGACGGAGGGAUUAGCAC
rnacentral:pre_miRNA from 1 species